rnacentral:rRNA from 1 species
GGGUCAGUAGGUUGGUCGUGCCACCGGUACGUACUGGUCUCACUUAUUCCUCCUUCCUGAAGAACCGUAAUGCCAUUAAUUUGGCGUUGCGGGGAAACAGGACUGUUACUUUGAAAAAAUUAGAGUGUUUAAAGCAAGCUAACGCUUGAAUACAUUAGCAUGGAAUAAUGAAAUAGGACGAUCGAUCCUAUUUUGUUGGUUUCUAGGAUUGACGUA